AACGAACGCUGGCGGCAUGCCUAACACAUGCAAGUCGAACGAGACCUUCGGGUCUAGUGGCGCACGGGUUCGUAACGCGUGGGAACCUGCCCUUUGGUUCGGAAUAACUUCCCGAAAGGGGUGCUAAUACCGGCUAAUGUCUUCGGACCAAAGAUUUAUCGCCUUUGGAUGGGCCCGCGUUGGAUUAGCUAGUUGGUAGGGUAAAAGCCUACCAAGGCGACGAUCCAUAGCUGGUCUGAGAGGAUGAUCAGCCACACUGGGACUGAGACACGGCCCAGACUCCUACGGGAGGCAGCAGUGGGGAAUAUUGGAAAAUGGGCGAAAGCCUGAACCAGCAAUGCCGGGUGAGUGAUGAAGGCCUUAGGGUUGUAAAGCUCUUUUACCCGGGAUGAUAAUGACAGUACCGGGAGAAUAAGCUCCGGCUAACUCCGUG
rnacentral:rRNA from 1 species